rnacentral:lncRNA from 1 species
UAUAUUCUAAAUAAAUUCUUUAAACAAGUAUCCAUGGACAAGACGUGGAGUUUAGAGCAUGUUUGGUAUAAUUUAAAAUCCAAUUAAAAUUAAUUUUUUGAUAAUUAUUUUACCAUUCUAAUCGUUAUUUUUAAAUUCUUAUCAUAAUCCACAAUCAAAAAAAUCAAUUAAAAAAAGCCUAUUUAACAAUCACCUAUAAGAAUUCCCAGCGCAGAGUUCACACAAACAUCUCAAUGUCUCUUAUUCUCGAUGAUUCUAAUCAAUUUCAGGUAAUAUUUUUUUCCAUUUCAUAGUCAUAUUCUUCUUUUUCUUUUGCUUCUCUUUGAUUUAUGCGCUUUAAUAUGAUUUGGAACUUUUCCUUUUUGGUGUGGAAUCUGUUAUCUUUAAUUCUUUAUCACUUUCAAUUUGGACAAAAAAUGAUACUUUACUGUUUAAAUAGCUAAUUGCGUCAACUAUUCAGAUCUGAAGAAACCCUAGCUUUGUUAUUUGUAGAAUAAUUUCGAGACUGCUAUUUGCAUUCCAAAUCAUGGGAUCUGUUAAAUCAUCUUUGUGGCCUCAAUCAAAUAAGAUUUUUUAGACAGGUUAGUUGCAGGAAUUGCUAGUUUUAUUUAUUUUAGAGAAUUUGGGAUAAAAGUUUUUGUAGUCGCUGUUUAUAUAUAAUAUUGAUGAUUUACGAAUGCGUUCAUACAGAUAAUUCAAAAAUCUGAUGAAAAAAAUAUAAUUUAUCAGCUAUUUUAUUCAAGACCUGAUUACAAUUUGUUUCGAAUAUCUCAUAGUUUCUCCCUAUGAUAUUUCCUGUUGGGAGCUAGAUCUGAUUAGUUUAAGGAUUUGCAAACUGGAUUUGAACAGUAAUUGUUCAUCUAAAACUAUGUUCGUUUUCUCUCUUGCUUACUAUUCAGUAACUUCAAUUUGUCCACAACGUCUUGUACAAUCCAACUAGGUAAAUAUUAAUCUAUAAAUCUUGAUUUUUGUACAAAGUUCUUGGUAAUUGCUUCACUUCAACAGAUGCAGAGUGGCUGGCCUUUGGAGUGGCUGGCUUUUGCGCAGGUGUUUGGUUUGCUAUAGAUGUGGCCAAAUGUGAUUCCCUUCA